rnacentral:miRNA from 1 species
GCGGAGAGCACAGAACUAGGCA